rnacentral:misc_RNA from 1 species
AAAGUCGUAACAAGGUCUCCGUUGGUGAACCAGCGGAGGGAUCAUUACCGAGUUUACAACUCCCAAACCCCUAUGUGAACGUUACCAAACUGUUGCCUCGGCGGGUCAUUCAUGCCCCGGGCGCGUCGCAGCCCCGGACCAAGGCGCCCGCCGGAGGACCAACCAAAACUCUUUUGUAUGUCCCUCGCGGACUUUUAUAAUUCUGAACCAUCUCGGCGCCCCUAGCGGGCGUUUCGAAAAUGAAUCAAAACUUUCAACAACGGAUCUCUUGGUUCUG